rfam:Salmo salar isolate Sally breed double haploid chromosome ssa14, whole genome shotgun sequence.
ACCAAGGUCUUUCUCAAGACCAGUCUCACAUACAAGACAUGGGUAU